rnacentral:tRNA from 2 species
UCCUGGUUAGCGCAGUUGGUAGAGAGUUCCACUGGAAAUGGAGAGGUUCCUGGUUCGAUACCUGGACCAGGCG